rnacentral:rRNA from 1 species
CCUACGGGAGGCUGCAGUGGGGAAUAUUGGGCAAUGGAGGCAACUCUGACCCAGCAACUCCGCGUGAAGGAAGAAGGCCUUCGGGUUGUAAACUUAUGUUGUAGAGGAAGAAAAGAAUGACGGUACUUUACAAGAAUGCCCCGGCUAACUAUGUGCCAGCAGCCGCGUUAAGACAUAGGGGGCAAGCGUGUUUCGGAAUUACUGGGCGUAAAGGGAGUGUAGGCGGGAGAUUAAGUUAAUAGUGAAAGCCUAGGGCUCAACCCAAGAAAUGCUCUUAAUACUGGUUGUGUAGAGUGUGGGAGAGGUAAGUGGAAGUCCUAGUGUAGCGGUGGAAUGCGUAGAGAUUAGGAGGAACAUCAGAGGCGAAGGCGGCUUACUGGACCACAACUGACGCUGAGGCUCGAAAGCGUGGGGAGCAAACAGGAUUAGAUACCCUAGUAGUC